rnacentral:lncRNA from 1 species
GUUUUGUCAUCCACCUGCUUCAAAGCUGUAAAACCAGCCGCAGCAAAGGCAAACCUACCCAGCUCCAAAAUCCAAACAAAGAAAUCUUAGUGGGCUGUUUACAUAUCAGUGGAGGGAUAUAUGGGCUUGUGCUGAUGUGGUGCCAGAAUGGUUGAAAGAUUUCAGUCCCUGCACAACGGCAGCAGCAGCAGCAGCCAUGGCCAGCCGGUCACUGGGACAGACAGCGCUGCACAGCCAGCUGAUGGAGAGUUAACCGGUUGGAAGGGAUCCAGUGGGGCUCAGACAGGUAGGAGCUGUGCCAAACCCAUCCCGCCCCAUCCAUCCUGCCUGCUGACAUCCAGCGCCUGUUAGCUCCUAUUAAAGCUCUUUCUCUUCCUAGCCCAAAUUGAGCAAAUUUGAUUUGGCCUCUGUGAAGCAGGCUUCACCACAUAGAAACUAAUUACUCUGAUGGAAAAGUGGCAUUCAAGGUACAGCUGGUUACGUGAAGGGAGGACGACAUGCUUACAGGUGGAAGGAGGGUGCGCUCAGUGGCAAUGGUGUGGUCUAUUCUCUCCUUGUACGUGAAAUUUGGCCCGGCUACUUAGAGAUGGUGCAAUAAUGGAUUCCUUAUCAAAUUUACCAGUUUUUUAGAUUACAUUAUUUUUUUUUUCUUGUUCACAUUCUACACCAGGGAUGACAAACGUAAUUACAAAAAGGGUGAGAUAAAAAAAAAAAGAAAAAACUUAACAAUAAACCAGGAGCCAGAGGACA